rnacentral:rRNA from 1 species
UGCCGGGGUCUCGCAAAGCGGGUGGGCAUGAGACCUAGUUUGACGCCACGGGAAGACCCAUCCCAAGUGUCGACACACACUGGAAAUUUCAGAGACGGGCGCCCCCGUGUGCUCGGUGUACAGGUGGUGCAUGGCUGUCGUCAGCUCGUGUCUAGAGAUGUUGGGUUAAGUCCCGCAACGAGCGCAACCCUUGUCCCGUGUUGCCAGCAGGCCCUUGUGGUGGUGGGGACUCACGGGAGACCGCCGGGGUCAACUCGGAGGAAGGUGGGGACGACGUCAAGUCAUCAUGCCCCUUAUGUCUUGGGCUGCACACGUGCUACAAUGGCCGGUACAAUGAGCUGCGAUACCGCGAGGUGGAGCGAAUCUCAAAAAGCCGGUCUCAGUUCGGAUUGGGGUCUGCAACUCGACCCCAUGAAGUCGGAGUCGCUAGUAAUCGCAGAUCAGCAUUGCUGCGGUGAAUACGUUCCCGGGCCUUGUACACACCGCCCGUCACGUCACGAAAGUCGGUAACACCCGAAGCCGGUGGCCCAACCCCUUGUGGGAGGGAGCUGUCGAAGGUGGGACUGGCGA